rnacentral:lncRNA from 1 species
ACAUCUCAAUUGAUAUUCGUUUGAUUGGAAAGCAUUGUUCACUUCACACGUAGUAUAAAAAUAACAAAUUACAUAGGAAAAGAAUAAAUCAAGUUCAACAUACAAAUCAUGUUUUUGGUGCUCAAUACAUACAUUAAUACAUAUAAAUGAAGUGUAAGACACCGCUAAAACAAUGAAUAAGAAAAAAGCUUGAACAAAAAGGGUCUCUUAAACUCCAUCUAAAGGACAUGUCA